AUGGAUACGCCAAAGAAGAUACAGAAGACAUUGGCUUGUAACUUCUACUACCUCCAUUCUAACAUAUACCUAGUAUUCGAUAAACAAAUAGGAGAUGUAGAAGCAUAUCUCCAGAUCCCUACACUUGUUUAUGGGACACCCUCCAGCAAUAAAUGGACAGAAAAUCUGAAACUUCACAUUCAAAUAGAUUCGCAUUCAAAAGCACACACGACUGUAGUUCUUGAUUACAGAAGUCAUGGCAGCCAAAGAAGAGACGGUGAUCCAAUCCACCAUCUUCCUUUCCAUGCAUGUAAGAAUUGGGAGAGCAACCAUCAAAAAAUAUGA
rnacentral:rRNA from 1 species